GGGAACGGGUGGGUAACGGGUAUAAAAUUUGCCUUGUACAGGAGGAUAGCCUUUAAAAAUGAAAAUUAAUACUCCAUAAUGUUGGGAAGUGGCAUCACUAUUUAACUAAAAAUUUAUCGGUACAAAAUGACUAUGGGUCCUAUUAGCUAAAUGGUAAGGUAACGGCUUACCAUGGCAACGAUAGGUAGGGGGUUUGAAAGGAUUAUCCCCCACACUGGUACUGAAACACGGACCAAACUCCUACGGGAGGCAGCAGUGAGGAAUAUUGGUCAAUGGAGGCAACUUUGAACCAGCCAUGCCGGGUGCAGGAAAACUGCCCUAUGGGUUGUAAACUGCUUUUAUACAGGAAAAAACAGUCGUACGUGUACGGCCUUGACGGUACUGUAAAAAUAAGCACCGGCUAACUCCGUGCCAGCAGCCGGGGUAAUACGGAGGGUGCAAGGGUUAUCCGGAAUCAUUGGGUUUAAAGGGUCCGCAGGGGGUCAAUUAAGUCAAAGGUGAAAUCCCAUAGCUUAACUAUGGAACUGCCUUUGAUACUGGUUGACUUGAGUUAUACGGAAGUAAAUAAAAUAAGUAGUGUAGGGGUGAAAUGCAUAAAUAUUACUUAAAAUACCGAUUGGGAAGGCAGUUUACUACGUAUAUACUGACGCUCAUGGACGAAAGGGUGGGGAGGGAACAGGAUUAAAUACCCUGGUAGUCCACGCCGUAAACGAUGGACACUAGUUGUUGGGCAAUAGUUCAGUGACUAAGCGAAAGUGAUAAGUGUCCCACCUGGGGAGUACGAUCGCAAAAUUGAAACUCAAAGGAAUUGACGGGGGCCCGCACAAGGGGUGGAGCAUGUGGUUUAAUUCGAUGAUACGGGAGGAACCUUACCAGGGCUUAAAUGUAAAGUGACAGGGCUAAAGAUAGCUUUUUUUUCGGACACUUUACAAGGUGCUGCAUGGUUGUCGUCAGCUCGUGCCGUGAGGUGUCAGGUUAAGUCCUAUAACGAGGGCAACCCCUAUCGUUAGUUGCUAGCAGGUAAAGCUGAGGACUUUAGGGAAACUGCCGGUGCAAACCGUGAGGAAGGUGGGGAUGACGUCAAAUCAUCACGGCCCUUACGUCCUGGGCUACACACGUGCUACAAUGGUAUGGACAAUGAGCAGCCACAACGGGAGUUGGAGGGAAUUUAUAAACCAUAUCACAGUUCGGAUCGGAGUUUGCAACUCGACUCCGUGAAGCUGGAAUCGCUAGUAAUCGGAUAUCAGCCAUGAUCCGGUGAAUACGUUCCCGGGCCU
rnacentral:rRNA from 1 species